UUUAAAACAAGGUAAGAUGUAAUCGAUCGUCGCGAGACCUCCUUCAACUAUCCUUUGGUAUUUCACAUGCCAGGCCCGCGUUGGUAACUGGACUGAGGUGAAAACCAGAGUACCCCGAGGAACCCCACACGGAUACAGAGAGGACAUGCAAACUCCAUGCUGAAAUGCAACAGUCGGAUUUGAACCCGGGGUCUUUAAGCCGUGAGACGAUAGUGCCAUCUUCUCUAAGCCUGGUUCCUGCCCCUGAGGGGGCAGCAGCACUCAGGGAAGAGUUAAUUGAACACGUAAUUGCGUUUGUUUUCAAUUCAGAAGUGUUGUCAUAUAAGCCUCUCUGAAUAUAUAUUCUGUGGGGGGAAAAAAACACUCUGAAGCUUUGGUUGCCUGAGCACCCUAUUUUGUAAAUUACAUCAGAAUACAUGUUCAUUUUGAUGGUAUAUCCAAUGGAGAAACUUGUUCUUGACAAGGUUAUAUAAUAUUUGCUUGGUUUGUGUAACUAUCUUUUGUUGAGGAAUCUGUCUCCACAAUGUUGAACACCACAGAUGUUGAGGAGGUGAAAUUGAAUAGAAUAUGGAAACUGUGAGGCCUUAGCAAUUUUUUAAAAUGUAUAUAUUUUAUAUGUUACUCUACUGUAAGAACACAACGUGAUGAUCAUGGUAAGAUUAAGACCAAAUCAAUGGUUUAGAAAACACUGAGUACGGUUGGCUUUUUAAUAUGUAAGAUCAAAAAGAGUUGUAUUUUUCUCCUAAUAUGUUCCUGGGGUGUUUUGGUGAAGUAGGAUUUAAAAAUACAAAGAAAAAAAUGCACCACAGUUAAACAUUAAAUAAGCCAUAUCACA